GCAACCCCCGAGAUCCACACAUAGAUAGCGUUUACAAUGAGAAUUCGGAUUGUUCCAACUAAAACGAAAAGAAGGAAUUGAAAAUGGAAAGGGGUAGACAGAAGCUCUCCACCCUUCUUAAAAAGAAAGAAGCUACUUGAAGGUAGGACUGUAAGAGGGAUGAUACCUACCUAUCCAAGAAAUUAUGAUUGAAGAAAUAUAUUUAUGUUCUACACUAGCUCUAAUUCUCGCUCCCACUUUUAACUCUUUAGGUUGCAGAGAAUUAUAACGUGGUAUCUCCAUACUCACAAUUAUGUCACCAUAAUCUAUCAUAAGGCAUCUCCUU
rnacentral:lncRNA from 1 species